rnacentral:rRNA from 1 species
GUGCCAGCAGCCGCGGUAAGACGAACCGUGCGAACGUUGUUCGGAAUCACUGGGCUUAAAGGGCGCGUAGGCGGGUUCCCAAGUCGGGGGUGAAAUCUUUCGGCCCAACCGGAAAAGGGCCUCCGAUACUGGGAACCUCGAGGGGGGUAGGGGUCGGCGGAACUUCCGGUGGAGCGGUGAAAUGCGUAGAUAUCGGAAGGAACGCCGGUGGCGAAAGCGGCCGACUGGACCUCACCUGACGCUGAGGCGCGAAAGCCAGGGGAGCGAACGGGAUUAGAAACCCGGGUAGUCC